rnacentral:rRNA from 1 species
UACGAAGGGUGCAAGCGUUACUCGGAAUUACUGGGCGUAAAGCGUGCGUAGGUGGUUCGUUAAGUCUGAUGUGAAAGCCCUGGGCUCAACCUGGGAAUGGCAUUGGAAACUGGCGACCUAGAGUGCGGUAGAGGGUAGUGGAAUUCCCGGUGUAGCAGUGAAAUGCGUAGAUAUCGGAAGGAACACCAGUGGCGAAAGCGGCUUCCUGGUCCAGCACCGACGUUCAGGCACGAAAGCGUGGGGAGCAAACAGG